rnacentral:tRNA from 1 species
GGGCCCGUAGCUCAGCAUGGAUAGAGCGGCGGCCUUCUAAGCCGUAGGUCGUGGGUUCGAAUCCCACCGGGCCCG